GGAGCCGCGGGCAGGGGCGCGCCGCACCCGCCGGCCCCGCGACGGGAUCUCCACGCCGAGAGGAUGUCGGCAGCCCCGGCGACCUGCGAGACGGGGCUGGAUCCGCCCGCCAGCCUGAUCUUUGGACCCAAAGGAGAAUAAAAAGAUGCUCUUGCGACUGCUGCCCCUGACAUUUGUACGGAUCAUCACUCGAAGGUUUUCUGAGCCCAGUGGAUUUACAGUGGCAUUCAGCUGCCUGGGGAGUGACGCUGCCAGACUCGCGUCCUGGAAUUAGCUACUGGUGCUCUUCAGGAUGCAGGUCUCUGCAGGAAGGCGGGCACAGUGCCCACGGAGCCUCUCAGCCUGGACGCCCCCGAAGCGCCUGACCACAGCUGCCCACGGGGGCUGAGCUUUCCACCUUUGUCUUGUGAGGCCUCUGCCAGCUCCCUUGGGACCCUCUGAAACAAUCCUGUCACACCUGGGAUUGAGGUGCUUGUAACCUGAAGAUGCAGCAUAUCCACUCAGCCCUGCAGAGGAACUCCACGGCUUUUUUCCUUGAGCUUGGGAAUACGUGGGCAUUUGGAGAAUCGAGGAGACCUUGCUCGGGAGGCAAAGGCAGCAGUCAUAUUGGCUUAGAGAGAAUUGAAUGCUUUUUCCAAAGUGCUUAGAAGACGCAGCAACUGGAAAGCAGAGCUUAGAAAAUUGCCACGGCCCGAGGGAGGAAUGCGCACUCCCUCCUUCCCAGCCGGCUCCUAGUGCACGGAGCACCUCUCACCACUGGUUUGGUCACUGCUGAGCUAUCUUCAUUUAAUGUGGUUUUGACAAAAUAGUUGGUCUGGAAAUUUUAUUUUCAAUUAAACUUAUUGUUGAGCUGUCUCGGUUUUGAAAGGGUUCCAUUAGGGUGGCUAAUUAUAUAUCAGUUACUACAAGGAGAUAUUUGCACUCAAUUUCAGCUCUUAGGUAAUUCUAAUCAAAUGCUUUCUUUAUAAUUUUUCCUCCCUGGAGCUGUGCACAACCAUCUUCCCCUCACAAUGCAAAGCUUCCCGUGAGUGAGUUAUUUUUAGAAAGCCAAAUCAAAACAGCAAUUGUGGCGGAGGCCAUUUAUAGCCUAGCAGAGUAAAGCAUAUGCACUGAUAAAAGCAGCCAAACCACCUCCCUGGUGGUGCAGUCUGAUGUCCAGGCACUGCAGGCUGACCUUUAUACUAAAACAUUCCUUUGACGUCAAAGGCAGCAGACCUGCCUUUAAACUGACAAAGGAUUUGGGCCUUGGCAGACAGUUGCCAAGGUCCCUGCGUUUCACAGCGGCAGCUCUGGUCUGGCCGCUGGGGCUCUGGUGGAGGACGGAGGGCAUGUCCUGGGUUUUCCUCCUCUGCUCCAUUUUCCUCUUUGAGUGGCACACAUUAGCUCCCCUCCUUGUGCCGUCGCCCCGCAAUCAGAGUGUAAGGUGGGGGAUUGGGCUGUACUUUUCACCCUGUGGGGUGCCUGUGAGUAGUAGGUGCUCAAGUACAGUCAUUCAUUAAAAUGCUACUUGCUUUCUCAUUUAAAUGUUAGUCUUUCAUUACAUAGAUACUAAGUGAGUGUAUUUGUCUUAGGGCAAAACAUCCCUUUCCAAAUAUGGCUGAGAGUCACAUCACUCAACUCCACCUGAGUCCUUUGAAGGUCUAGAAACCAGGAGAAUGUUCUGGUCCUCCAACUCGCCAUCUUCAGGCCGUUGGCUCAUCAUGAGCUCGCAUCAGCCAACCUUUUGGAACACAUCUUUGCAGACCUUCCAGAGGCACUUGUGCCCAUGUAUGAGCACAUGCAUACAUGUGCGCACACACACACACACGCACACACACACAGUCAACUUCUAAGCCUGCAAUAGAGUAUUGCAAAGCUUAUCUAGUUUCUCUCCACAGUCUGUCAAGGGGUGCCAUAUACAUAGGCAACCUGUUUCCUCUGAACCCUUUGAUUUGAGCCAAAUAAGUUCUUUGACCUACUUUCCUCAUUAGACCUCUAGAUCCAUUCUCACGUGCAGGCUGACCAACUAGCCUUGUCCACUGCUAUCUAGGUAACUAUAUAACAUUCUCUUAAAAUCAGCUCCUGCCUGGGAGGUUAUACCACACCAGUAGACUGAAGUUUGUGAGAUUUUAUGGGUUGCUGAUAGGACCGAAAUUUCUUUGUCUUCAACCUGGAGAGUAUCACUGUGCCCUGGGAGUUCCCCAGUAGUGGAGAGGGAGGCUGUGGGGUCCAACUGGGCUCUGCUUGCAGCCCUAAAGUGCUCCUGCAUGGGUCUUCCACUUCCUGGACCUUAUCUUUCCAUUUGUACUGUGGACUCAGGGAACCUCCAAGAGUGCCCUGCAGUGUGUGUUCAGCUCUGUCUGUUGUGUGUGUGCUGGAGAAAAAGCCAGCUCCCAUCUGAGCUUCUCCUAAGCCUGCGUCACGAGGAACCUGGGAGGGUUGCUCCUGGACUGUACUUUUCCUUCCUGU